rnacentral:rRNA from 1 species
ACGAACGCUGGCGGCGUGCUUAACACCUGCAAGUCGAACGGAAAGGCCCUGCUUUUGUGGGGUGCUCGAGUGGCGAACGGGUGAGUAACACGUGAGUAACCUGCCCUUGACUUUGGGAUAACUUCAGGAAACUGGGGCUAAUACCGGAUAGGAGCUCCUGCUGCAUGGUGGGGGUUGGAAAGUUUCGGCGGUUGGGGAUGGACUCGCGGCUUAUCAGCUUGUUGGUGGGGUAGUGGCUUACCAAGGCUUUGACGGGUAGCCGGCCUGAGAGGGUGACCGGCCACAUUGGGACUGAGAUACGGCCCAGACUCCUACGGGAGGCAGCAGUGGGGAAUAUUGCACAAUGGGCGGAAGCCUGAUGCAGCAACGCCGCGUGCGGGAUGACGGCCUUCGGGUUGUAAACCGCUUUCGCCUGUGACGAAGCGUGAGUGGCGGUAAUGGGUAAAGAAGCACCGGCUAACUACGUG